UACGGGGGGGGGCAAGCGUUGUUCGGAAUUACUGGGCGUAAAGGGCGCGUAGGCGGCCUGCUAAGUCGGACGUGAAAUCCCCCGGCUCAACCGGGGAACUGCGUCCGAUACUGGUGGGCUCGAAUCCGGGAGAGGGAUGUGGAAUUCCAGGUGUAGCGGUGAAAUGCGUAGAUAUCUGGAGGAACACCGGUGGCGAAGGCGGCAUCCUGGACCGGCAUUGACGCUGAGGCGCGAAAGCCAGGGGAGCAAACAGG
rnacentral:rRNA from 1 species